AACGAACGCUGGCGGCAGGCCUAACACAUGCAAGUCGAACGCUGUAGCAAUACAGAGUGGCGCACGGGUGCGUAACGCGUGGGAAUAUGCCCUUGACUACGGAACAACAUCGGGAAACUGAUGCUAAUACCGUAUAAUGUCUUCGGACCAAAGAUUCAUCGGUCAAGGAUUAGCCCGCGUCUGAUUAGCUAGUUGGUGAGGUAACGGCUCACCAAGGCGACGAUCAGUAGCUGGUCUGAGAGGAUGAUCAGCCACACUGGGACUGAGACACGGCCCAGACUCCUACGGGAGCAGCAGUGAGGAAUAUUGGACAAUGGGCGCAAGCCUGAUCCAGCCAUGCCGCGUGAGUGACGAAGGCCUUCGGUUGUAAGACUCUUCUAGAUGCGAAGAUAAUGACGGUAACAUCAGAAGAAGACCCCGGCCGUAAA
rnacentral:rRNA from 1 species